AUUGAACGCUGGCGGCAGGCCUAACACAUGCAAGUAGAAGGAGUGGCGGACGGGUGAGUAAUGUCUGGGAAACUGCCCGAUGGAGGGGGAUAACUACUGGAAACGGUAGCUAAUACCGCAUACCAUCGGCUGUGCCCAGAUGGGAUGAGCGAGUGGGGGGGGGAACGGCUCACCUAGGCGAGGAUCCAUAGCUGGUCUGAGAGGAUGACCAGCCACACUGGAACUGCGACACGGUCCAGACUCAGACGGGAGGCAGCAGUGGGGAAUAUUGCACAAUGGGGGAAACCCUGAUGCAGCAACGCCGCGUGCGGGAUGACGGCCUUCGGGUUGUAAACCGCUUUCAGCCAUGACGCGGUAGUGGCAGAAGAAGCACCGGCUAACUACGUGCCAGCAGCCGCGGUAAUAC
rnacentral:rRNA from 1 species